UAAUACGAAGGUGGCAAGCGUUGUUCGGAUUUACUGGGCGUACAGGGAGCGUAGGCGGUUCGGUAAGCCCUCUGUGAAAUCUCCAGGCUUAACCUGGAACAGUCGGAGGGGACUGCUGAGCUAGAGGAUGGGAGAGGAGCGCGGAAUUCCCGGUGUAGCGGUGAAAUGCGUAGAGAUCGGGAGGAAGGCCGGUGGCGAAGGCGGCGCUCUGGAACAUAUCUGACGCUGAGGCUCGAAAGCGUGGGGAGCAAACAGGAUUAGAUACCCUGGUAGUCCACGCCUUAAACGAUGAAUACUAAGUGUCGGCGGGUUACCGCCGGUGCCGCAGCUAACGCAGUAAGUAUUCCGCCUGGGAAGUACGGCCGCAAGGUUGAAACUCAAAUGAAUUGACGG
rnacentral:rRNA from 1 species